UACGAAGGGGGCUAGCGUUGCUCGGAAUCACUGGGCGUAAAGGGUGCGUAGGCGGGUUUUUAAGUCAGGGGUGAAAUCCUGGAGCUCAACUCCAGAACUGCCUUUGAUACUGAGGAUCUUGAGUUCGGGAGAGGUGAGUGGAACUGCGAGUGUAGAGGUGAAAUUCGUAGAUAUUCGCAAGAACACCAGUGGCGAAGGCGCUCACUGGCCCGAUACUGACGCUGAGGCACGAAGGCCAGGGGAGCAAACGGGG
rnacentral:rRNA from 1 species